UAUGGCUCAUUGGUAGAGUGCUUGCCUUGCAUGCAGGGGGCCAUAGGUUCAAAUCCUAAUA
rnacentral:tRNA from 1 species